GUGGGGAAUAUUGCACAAUGGGGGAAACCCUGAUGCAGCGACGCCGCGUGAGUGAAGAAGUAUUUCGGUACGUAAAGCUCUAUCAGCAAGGAAGAAAAUGACGGUACUUGACUAAGAAGCCCCGGCUAACUACGUGCCAGCAGCCGCGGUAAUACGUAGGGGGCGAGCGUUGCUCGGAUUGACUGGGCGUAAAGCGCGCGUAGGCGGUCCAUUAAGUGUGCGGUGAAAUUCGGAGGCUCAACCUCCGUCCCGCCGCGCAAACUGAUGGUCUUGAGAUUGGGAGGGGGAUGCGGAAUUCCUGGUGUAGCGGUGAAAUGCAUUGAUAUCAGGAGGAACACCGGCGGCGAAAGCGGCAUCCUGGCUUAUAUCUGACGCUGAGGCGCGAAAGCGUGGGUAGCAAACGGGAUUAGAAACCCGGGUAGUCC
rnacentral:rRNA from 1 species